AGAUCAAAUAAUUGAAAUCAAUGGAGAAAGCACAAGGGACAUGACACAUGCCAGAGCAAUAGAGCUAAUCAAGUCUGGUGGCAGGAGAGUGCGACUGUUGUUGAAACGUGGAACAGGCCAGGUCCCAGAAUAUGGAAUGGUACCUUCCAGUCUCUCCAUGUGCAUGAAAAGUGACAAGCAUGGGUCCCCAUAUUUCUACUUAUUGGGCCACCCUAAAGACACGACGAACCAAACUCCUGGAGUGCUCCCUCUGCCACCUCCCCAGGUCUGCCGGAAGUAGCUCUUUCCCUCGAAGACAUAAUCUCACCAUUAUCUUCAUCACACAUAGCCCCACCCUCUGACCCUUCUCACCAGAUAAGCCUAGAGCCAACAUGGGAUAUCAAGAGGGAACAUGAUGUAAGGAAACCAAAGGAGCUUUCGGUGAACGGUCACAAAAAGAAAAGGUUAGGAGAACAAAGAGAAAGGUCAGCAAGUCCUAAAAAGGUAGACAGGUCAAAGCAUGAAGAGGCUUCUUGGAAAGGAUAUUCAGAAAGCAAAAAUAAGACCACUGAUGGUGGCAGGCCCACCUCAGAAAGCAAAGCGGUGGGACACAGCAUUAUGAUCGAGGCUGGUGCAAGAGAGCACGUGUGUGCUGGAACCAGCAGUGAUGAACAGUUUGGGAGGGUGAGGAAGCCAGAAAGCAAGAGAGGAGGAUCUCUUAGCAAAAAAGAAGAUCACAGAUCCACAAACAUCAGUGAGAAGAAGUCAGCUGCAGCAUCUGACCAUGUCAAGAUCGAUACAGGUGCUACCAAGACGUACAGUAGCAACCGCUGCAGCUCGCCUGGAAGUGAUAUGGACCACAGCCAGAGGGAGCCUGAUGGGAAACCCAGCGAGUUCCCCAGGAAGGGACAUCUCCACUCCAUUAGCACUCGCAGCACCAACACCACAGUUCGAAAGGCAACGGUCUCCCCAGGGCCAUGGAAAAUACCUGGCUCAGAUAAGCUACCUAGCGUCCUGAAGUCUGGUACUUCUGCCAUGAGCAGAUAAGCAAGGGACUGUUGCCCUCUAACUGUCUCAAACUGACGCAGAACAUUCUUCUUAGUUUUUGUCUCACAUUGGUUUGUUUUAAUUUAUUUUAACUAUCACACAUAUACACAAAGCAUUGAGGAAUGAAAACAUUAGUGUGUAAUUCCAUGACAAUGUGCACAGUAUCUAAUAAGUUCAAAAGCAUAUAGUCAACACGGAGAUUUAAAAUCGACCCUAAAGUCCCAGUUCCAUUUUAGGGACUUUGGCAGCUAUGGAAGAAACCAAAACACUAUGAAGGACAGUACAUCAGAGAAGGAUAGUGCAGUGUAGCUUUAGCAUUUUUUUCCCACUGCAUGAAGGACUUGGAUUUCAUUCAAACUUUAUAUCAAGAAACUGGAACAAGUUAGAGCAAUCACAAACUGGAACAUCGCCUUAAAUAAAACUGCACGGAGCAAGCUGAAAGCGAGAGAGGAUCUUUUCGUGGAGCUAAAAUGUUGUAAAUAAAUUGUUCUCGACAUAUCUAGACAGGGGUUAAAGGGUUUCUUUGAAGCAUCUUUCGGGACUGUACACCCAUGACACGUCUCCACUGUUAACGCUUUGGGAUAGUCCACGUGGUACCCCGUAGCAUAGUUCACUGGGAGCUAAGGGAGGAGUGGGGAAUCCAGUGGAUUAGUUUCUGUGAUACCAUUUCUACUGCCAUUUUUGUGAACAAACCAUGUUUCUGUACAUUGGAAAGGAGUUAGGGUGGAGUUGUAUUUGAAAAUUAUUCUCAAAAGCGAUUUAUUACAGGUUCCCCAAGUACUGUGAGGUAGCACACAAAUCAAUUGGUCAGGCUCAAACCCCAGAUGUCUGCAAGGCCCUUGUAAUGAAAGGAGGAGUGCUACAGAGAAAAAGCUGCAGUUUCCUUAAGGAAAGGCCUUUCCUUCCUGCAGAAGAUGAUAGCAUCACUUAUCAACAGUGCUUUGUUUCAUACCCAUCCACAUUUAUUUAGGACACUAUCACCUUUCAUCCCCUCAGUUUGGCAGAGCAGGUGCCUUUCAGGCACAUGUAAACAAUAAUUAGACUGGUUUCUGAAAUACAGUUGUUGGUGUCCUCAUUCAGUAAAUUCAAUAUAUUUCCAUUUUUAAAAUGGUUUCCAUUUUAUCAUUUUUUCCCUUUCUCAAAUUUUUUUUCUUUUUGUCUCUUUGUUUUUAUCUUUCUUGCUUGUCUGUUUUGAAUUUCAAGCCUUAAGUGCCAGGUAAACAUUCCAGUCUGCCUUCACAGGAAAUAACUCCGAGUUCAGUCAAUCAGUCAUUAUCUUGUUUCAAAAAGAUGCGUGUGUGUCUGUGUAAGUGUGCAUAUGCUUAUUCGUCUGUCAAAAUUAAAACAAAAUCCUGGGCAAUAAUACAUUGGUAAUUUAAAAAAAAAAAAUCAUAAAGCUAAGUACUGUCAAAAAUUCGUAUUUAAAAAUUAUUGUUCACUAGCAAUCUUAGUUCCUCACAUGCUCUGCUGAAAAACUAGAUUGAGAUUGGCUUUGUUCCAAGAAAUUAGCACAUUACUGUAUGUCUCAAACAUUGCACUGGACUGUGAAAUUUAUAGACAUGUUUCUUCCUGUCCAAUUAUUUGAAAAGCCUCAAGUCAAGGAUUUUGCAGCUUUCAAACUUUUUUUUUUAGAAAGAAAAAUCCAUUUAUAAUUUCUAAAAAAGCACAAGUCCAUGUAGCUGUUUAUAAAACUCUUAUUUAAUGGGAAAAAAUAAAUCUUUAAAAAUAAAUCUUUAUCCCCUGAACUAGAAUCCAAUAUAAUUUGCCAUUAAUUUAUUGAAUCUGAUUUUGGACAAUGCUUCUGUAGUGUAGAUGCACGUCCCAGUAUCUUAUUUUUAUGUAUAAAGAAAGCAAACAAUGAAAUCUGAAAAACAGUUGAGAUUAUGCUUGCAUAAACUCUAAUUUGCACAGUUCACAGCUACUCCUUGUGCAGUAAUUGCUUUAUGCGGCUGUAAUCGAUAACCUGUGAAGACAGCACAUCAUCUAAACCCCAUUCCAAAUAAUAUUUCUGUGUAGUGUUAGCUGUGAAUUUACCCUGUACAGCUCUAUCUCUAUAAAUAUAAUUCCAUGUAUUAAUAGUCACAGAAAGGCUGUAAGUGAGCAACUAUUUUUAUGAAACGCACCACUAUGGAUAAAUUAACUUUUACAGAAAUCUUGUUUACUGUAUGAUAUUCUAAACCACUGUCAAAUAAAAUAUAUAUCCAAAAA